UUGGGUGCAAAUCCUUUGAUCGAAGUCUAAAUUGCGAAAUCUUAGACAGUUGCUUCGUCGUCUGCGUUUAUAAUCUGUGUUUUGAGAUUUUUGAUCUUUAAAGAGGUAAGCUUAUUAUUGACUCAGAUUUAUACU
rnacentral:sRNA from 1 species